ACCCUACUAGUAGGGGAGUAGCCGUACGAAAUAGCGGAGUUAAUAACCUACUGUUGUAUUUAGUAUGACAUCUGACGAAUACCAAAGGUUCACCGCUAUAGGAUGGGGAUGCGUCUGAUUAGGUAGUCGGCGGGGUAACGGCCCACCGAGCCAACGAUCAGUAGGGGUUCUGAGAGGAAGGUCCCCCACAUUGGAACUGAGACACGGUCCAAACUCCUACGGGAGGCAGCAGUGAGGAAUAUUGGUCAAUGGGCGAGAGCCUGAACCAGCCAAGUAGCGUGCAGGAUGACGGCCCUAUGGGUUGUAAACUGCUUUUAUGCGGGGAUAAAGUGAGGGACGUGUCCCUUAUUGUAGGUACCGCAUGAAUAAGGACCGGCUAAUUCCGUGCCAGCAGCUGC
rnacentral:rRNA from 1 species